CCAGACUCCUACGGGAGGCAGCAGUGGGGAAUAUUGCACAAUGGGGGAAACCCUGAUGCAGCAACGCCGCGUGAGUGAAGAAGGCCCUGCGGGUCGCAGACCUCUUUGGACGGGGAGCAAGGCCGCCGACGUGUCGGCGGAAGGAGAGUACCCGUAGAACAAGCAUCGGCUAACUCCGUGCCAGCAGCCGCGGUAAUACGGAGGAUGCGAGCGUUAUCCGGAUUUAUUGGGUUUAAAGGGUGCGCAGGCGGCGCGGCAAGCCGGCGGGCAAAUCGCGGGGCUCAACCCCGCCCAGCCGUCGGAACUGCCGGGCUAGAGUGGGCGAGAAGUGCGCGGAAUGCGUGGUGUAGCGGUGAAAUGCAUAGAUAUCACGCAGAACUCCGAUUGCGAAGGCAGCGCACCGGCGCCCUACUGACGCUCAGGCACGAAAGCGUGGGUAUCGAACAGGAUUAGAUACCCCGGUAA
rnacentral:rRNA from 1 species